GAAUCUGCCCUAGGAGAAGAAUAACUGCUGGAAACGGUUGCUAGAUCUUCAUAUGUCGAGAGAUGAAAUAGCUUAAGCUGCCUAAGGAUGAGCUCACGCCUGAUUAGCUUGUUGGUGAGGUAAUGGCUCACCAAGGCCACGAUCAGUAGCUGGUUUGAGAGAACGACCAGCCACACUGGGACUGAGACACGGCCCAGACUCCUCCGGGAGGCAGCAGUGAGGAAUUUUCCGCAAUGGGCGAAAGCCUGACGGAGCAAUACCGCGUGAGGGAUGAAGGAUUUUGGUCUGUAAACCUCUUUUCUCAAGAAAGAAGUUCUGACGGUACUUGAGGAAUAAGCAUCGGCUAACUCCGUGCCAGCAGCCGCGGUAAUACGGGGGAUGCAAGCGUUAUCCGGAAUGAUUGGGCGUAAAGCGCCUGUAGGUUGUUUAUUAAGUCCGUUGUUAAAGCCUAGGGCUCAACCCUAGAAAAGCAAUGGAAACUAGUAGACUAGAGUAUGGCAGGGGUAGAGGGAAUUUCUAGUGUAGCGGUGAAAUGCGUAGAUAUUAGAAAGAACACCGGUGGCGAAAGCGCUCUACUGGACCAUUACUGACACUCAGAGGCGAAAGCUAGGGUGGCA
rnacentral:rRNA from 1 species